UACGUAGGGUGCAAGCGUUGUCCGGAAUUAUUGGGCGUAAAGAGCUCGUAGGCGGUUUGUCGCGUCUGCCGUGAAAACUCGGGGCUCAACUCCGAGCUUGCAGUGGGUACGGGCAGACUAGAGUGCGGGAGGGGAGACUGGAAUUCCUGGUGUAGCGGUGGAAUGCGCAGAUAUCGGGAGGAACACCAGUAGCGAAGGCGGCUCGCUGGGCCACACCUGACGCUGAGACGCGAAAGCUAGGGGAGCGAACAGG
rnacentral:rRNA from 1 species